AUCACUUCUCGGCCUUUUGGCCAAGAUCAAGUGUAGUAAAUGUUCUAUGAUUCUCUGAAUUGGGCUUUAGUGAAGUUUGACUUUUUUUGACUUUGACUUUGACUUUGAAAUAUGUGGUCUAGAUUUCUAUUUGGCUUCAACUACAGCCGUGCCUUUUGCCUUUGGAAAAUCAAAUAGCCACACACCUAC